AUCCUUCACUCAUCUCUCCUUAAUCACAUUGAUUCUAAACGCGUUUUACAUCCUUUGCCGUUUCAACCUUCAAGAUCAUCUCUUCCGAUCUGUAUUAAUCGCAUUUCAUAGCCCUUCAAAUUCCCCUUCAAUCGCAUCUCUCUUCCCCUUUCGGUUCCUGUUUCGAAUCAGAUAUUUUUCUCUCAUCGCUCCCUUCCUCUCUUUCCCUUCAAUCGAAUCUCUCAUGGCCCCUUCCAAUUCCCCUUGAAUCGCAUCUCUCUUCCCCUCUCGGUUCCUGUUUCGAAUCUGUGUAACUUAGAUGUUUAUGGGUGGCAUAGAAUUGAUGACUUCGACUCUGUGUAAAUCGCCCCUCCCAGCUUCAUUCCUCUCAACGCCACGACGGCGACACCGCAGGGAGAUUUUGUUCCUUUUUUUUCCUUGGCUUUGCAGGAUAUGACCCGUGCGUUCUCUUACUGUAAUUCUGUAUGAAUCAUAUACUGCGUUUCUUCCUUUCGAGAUUUUGUUCCUUUUUUUUUCCUUGGCUUUGCAGUAUUAUACUUCCUGCUCUUUCUUGUUGAAUGAAUUUACUCCUGGAUCUAAUUGAGAGUUGAUAUUGAUUAUAGUUUACUACUGCAUGAAUUUACUCCUGAGCCCCAACGUAUUGCUUAUAGUUUACAACAUAUACAAAUGAUUCAUACAGAAAUCCACUACGAUCUAAUUCUGAGUACCACUACUAGCAAAUUAUUUUAGAGCCUCCAUUAGGAUGUGUUUGAAACCGCAGAUGAUAAGUUUUAUAUGCUCUGUUUUGUACUUCAAUUGCCAGACCACACUACACUUUGAAUUUCAAUUGCUAUAUAGUUAUGGACUAGAUUCCCCUUAUACUAUUUCAGCCAUAUUUAUGUUUAUGAUUUAACCAAUCUCUCUAUCUUGACAUCAGACAUAAGCUUGAGGAUUCCCCCGAAUUUUAUUUUCACCAUUAUGCCUUAAGUGAUAUCAAAAAUUGCAGCAAGUUGCUUUUGGGCUAUUGAUAAAGAAGGCAGUGUAGCUAUAUCAACCAUGGUGAUAUGUCUAAACAGUAUCAGUAAAUCAUUUGGCAAAAAUCAUUCAAUUUUGUGCUGACUGCUCACCAUCAUCUAUUUGUGACUGCAAGAUUAUCUAUGCUCGUGCCUACACUUAUGAGCAUCAGUACAACCUCCUCCUUGGAUUAGUUGCUAAAAUGUCUGAAGAACCGGUGUGAUGUUACUGACAUUGAACAGAGUUAUCUUCAAUUGCAAUAUUAUGGGAUAUGGAGAGUUAACAGAAUUGACUUAUGGCAGAUUGUAGAUUCAGUGGUUGCUUUGUAUAGGGUGGACUUUUCAGGAAGAGGAGAGCUUGCAGCGCCAGCCAAAACUGGCACAAAUGCUUUCUUGAUUGAUAAAGAUAGCUACAGAAUUCAAUGUUGCAGUUUACAUGACAAAUCAAGGUCGUAGCAGGUGAGGACGGAGGCAAUUAGUGGUUCUCCCUCUGGAUGUCUCUCAGGUGCGUUUGUUCCCUAAUUUUCAUCUCACAAGCGGCUAGGUCUUCCAUAUCUUCACCUUGGCUGACAUUAUGCCCUCAUUGCCAUCUCAGGUAUCUUCAAGCUGUAUUUAGUUUUUUCGUUUUUCAAAUAUUUUUAGGUGAUUGAUUAGUUUGCUGAUAAGCUGCUGAAUUGAUUAUUUGAUUAGUUGCCUCAUAUAUCACUUUGGAUUGUUUACAAAAAUUCUUUCAUUGAUUCCCACUUCAAUUAACACCUACCUGUGUUAUUGUUAUUAUUGCUCUGCCAUAUUUGUUAUAAUUGGCCAAUCUUGCCAACCCAUACAUCUUGAAUUGCUAGAGCCUUCUACUAUAAUAAGAAGUAGUUUUGACCAAAUCUUCAACACUCUCCAUCUUCUUCAAACUGCAAUUUGAAAAGCAUAUUAUUAUUAGCAUUUGAGAUAGCUAGCUGUUGCUAGAGACAUUCUUAAAGACCCAAAAAUAUUGAUCCUUGAUGAAGCCACGAGUGCAUUGGAUGCUAAAAGUGAACAUAAUGUGAAGGUCUGCUUCUGGAAACUACUCGAAGCCAGAUGGAAAUUACACACACUAAGUGUUAAAGUGUGUGGAGAAAUAUUAAGAAAACUUCAAUUUCCAUUAUAUGUAGGGUGUUCUUCGAUCUGUUAGAUGUGAUUCUGCAUCAAGGAGAAGUGUCAUAGUCAUUGCACACGGGUGAUACUUUAGUUGUCACUUGUCAGUGUUAAUUAGUGGUAUUCCAAUUCAUAAUUUUUUAGUUUUGAAAUGUGUGAACUGAUUUUACAGGCUUUCUACCAUACAAGUAGCUGACGGGAUUGUGGUGAUGGAUAGAGGUCAUGUUGUUGAGGUUGGUAUAUUUUUCUAUUAUAUUUUGAAUACCUCAAAUAUUCUAAUCAGUAUUCUUUCUUGAGGUUUAUUAUCUUUCAUACAUGAGCCCCACUUUUUUUUUUGUUUCAUUAACAAUGUAAAAGUUCACACACAUGUUGGGCUAAUGCUUCUCUAACAAUUCUCAUUUCUUUCUUUUUUUCUCAUUUCUCUGUCCACGUUUCUUGCAAAUUUUCACACACAUGUUGGGCUAAUACUGAAGGUUGAAAAAAAUGUUAAUAUAAUUCAAAGUGAAAUCAUCUUGAGCCAUAAGUAUGUGGUGGUUUAGAUGAGUUCUAUUUUGAACAGGUACAAAAUGUCAAGUCCUGAUGGAAGAAAUUAUUGGAUCAGCCAUGAAGCAAAUAUUGGUGGAAGUGAUGCAGAUGAUGCUUAAUCAUUCUGCCAUUCUCAAUUCAACAAAGUUGGACGGAGAAAGCCUUUCAUGUGCUUUGUCUCUCAAGUAAAUGGAAUAAUGAAAUAAAAAAACUGCUGAAAACUAUGUAUUAACCAAUACUUGGUUAGUUGAUUUUAAGUUAAUUUCUUCCUCAAAUGGAAUUUAUUCAGUUAUGAUGCCAAAAAAAAGGCUAUACAUGUUGUGUGUUAAUUCUUUUUUUUUUUUUUACUGAAUUUGAUUCCGGCUCGGUCAUGAUGAAUAUGGCAUUUGAUAGGACCAUGUAUACAGUAAUAGUUAAUGUGGAGAUAAAACUCAGUUCAUAUUGCCCUCAUAGAACUUUAUGAGUACAGUAUUGCUUCUUUAACAUCCAAUGCAUUCCUGAAACUGUUUGGAUUUCAUUUGUUGAAUGAUAUGGUUUUCUUUUUUCUUUUUCAUUAUCCUUUCUUUGCGUGACCUGAAACAUAAUUGUCAUUAACUUCUAUCAUCGCAGAAUGAAAGUCACAGGGAACUUAUCUUAAAAGAUGGUUUAUAUGCUUGGUUGACUAGAAAACAGGCAGAUGCCAUGACAUUUUUUUUAGGCCAAUGUUAGUUGUUAAUUGUUAGUAAAUUAGUUCCUUCACCAGGAUUCGAACCCUGGCCCUUCACCCUGCAAAUCCCUUCAUUCCCUUAGCUCACCAUGUGAGCUACCCUUACCCCCCAGGCAGAUGCCAUGACAUGAUUUGGGUUUCCAGUGCAGGUAUUCUAUUUUUCUUCUAUAUUCUUUCUUUUUAAAGUGGGACAUUGCAACUUUUUUUUUACUUGCUGACCCAGGCAUUUAUAGAUUAUAAAAAAUGGUGAUGUUUAGCAAAGAAGAAAGCUGCAGCAGUUCUGGUUCUAAAUGCAUGGCGGCUUCAGAAAGAUUUCACAGUAUUAGGAUUCAGGCUCUUAGGUUCAGCAGGAUCAUGAAACUUGUGGUAUAUUUGUUUUAGAAGCAGGAAUAUUGUAGAAAUGUGGUUUGAUGGGAGAAAAUAAAUUCCUAUAAGAAGACAUGCAUCUGGACUCGUGUUUCUCCCUCUGCAGCAGCUUACAUCUAAAACAAACAUAGGCUUGCUCCAUUGUAAAUGUAAUAUUGAUGUUCAACAUGGAUAUUCAAUUCAUAGUCCAGAUCGUCAUCAUGGUGGUAUGACUAUAUAGACACUGUUCAUUUAAUAUAUGUAAAUGUAAUAUUGAUGUUUAACACUUGAUUUGAAGAAAUACAACUGGCCCAUGAUUGAUGACA